rfam:Brassica rapa chromosome A8, whole genome shotgun sequence.
GUCGAGCUUGGUAACGCGGGCUUGUAAUCCAUGUGGGGACAAUAAGGUGAUGGGACAUUGGGCCGAUCUCUUUGGGCCGGACUCGGAAAGGCUAUUUACUGGUCUGCCCGUUCCAAGUCGGGAGUUGAGUGGUCGGGCUCGAGCGAAGGCUUGUGGUUCGGACACUCUUAGAGCGGAGGAGACCGCGUGAGGCUGGUUUCACAGAGCAGCGUCCACCUCCCGCUUUCGACGGUGGAAGGAUUACGGGCCGGUGCCUCCCGAGCCCACUAUGACCCAAUAUACCGGGCUCCAAUUGGACCAUCUCUUUU